AGUAGUUGUUUCCAACGAAAUGAUGAAAUCCAAAACCCAGCACAAUGAAACAACGGCGGUGGAACACUUAAUCUAUAAUAUAUAUAAUAAUCUAUAACAUAUAUAAAAGAUAAUACAUAAUUUUGGAAUUUUGAUGUAGUCUAUUUUUAUUUCAAUUAUACUUUUUUUUAAUUUUUAUUUUAAACUUCAACUUCUUUUAAUUACAUUAUAUAUGACGAUUUGUAUAUCUCUUUUAUUCAACUGUUUUUUUU
rnacentral:lncRNA from 1 species